GACGAACGCUGGCGGCGUGCUUAACACAUGCAAGUCGAGCGGUAAGGCCCUUUCGGGGGUACACGAGCGGCGAACGGGUGAGUAACACGUGGGUGACCUGCCCUCAGCUCUGGGAUAAGCCUGGGAAACCGGGUCUAAUACCGGAUAUGACUCCAUGACGCAUGUUGUGGGGUGGAAAGCCUUGUGCGGCUGAGGAUGGGCCCGCGGCCUAUCAGCUUGUUGGUGGGGUGAUGGCCUACCAAGGCGACGACGGGUAGCCGGCCUGAGAGGGCGACCGGCCACACUGGGACUGAGACACGGCCCAGACUCCUACGGGAGGCAGCAGUGGGGAAUCUUGCGCAAUGGGCGAAAGCCUGACGCAGCGACGCCGCGUGAGGGAUGACGGCCUUAGGG
rnacentral:rRNA from 1 species